GACGAACGCUGGCGGCGUGCUUAACACAUGCAAGUCGAGCGAUGAACCCGGAGCUUGCUCCGGUGGAUUAGUGGCGAACGGGUGAGUAACACGUGAGUAACCUGCCCUUGACUCUGGGAUAACUGCGGGAAACUGUAGCUAAUACCGGAUACGACCCUCGGCGGCAUCGCCAUGGGGUGGAAAGAAUUUCGGUCAAGGAUGGACUCGGGGCCUAUCAGCUAGUUGGUGAGGUAACGGCUCACCAAGGAGACGACGGGUAGCCGGCCUGAGAGGGUGACCGGCCACACUAGGACUGAGACACGGCCCAGACUCCUACGGGAGGCAGCAGUGGGGAAUAUUGCACGAUGGGCGCAAGCCUGAUGCAGCAACGCCGCGUGAGGGAUGACGGCCUUCGGGUUGUAAACCUCUUUUAGUAGGGAAGAAGCGAAAGUGACGGUACCUGCAGAAAAAGCACCGGCUAACUACGUGCCAGCCGCCGCCGUAA
rnacentral:rRNA from 1 species